rnacentral:rRNA from 1 species
AUAUCCGUAGCUUGCUCAAAAAGUUCCUUGUGAAAUCCGGCAUCUUAAGUGUCGGGCGCGCAGGGAAUACUCUUAAGCUAGAGACAGGAAGACGUAAGAAGUACGUUUGAAGUAGCGGUAAAAUGUGUUAAUCUCAGACGGACUAACAACAGCGAAGGCAUCUUACGAGGACUGUUCUGACAGUUAAGGAUGAAGGCUAGGGGCGCAAAGUGGAUUAGAUACCCAUGUAGUCCUAGCAGUAAACUCUGCACACUAAACAUUAGUACCUCUCCGUGAGGUAUUGGUGCUGGAGGGAAGCCGAAGAGUGUGCUACCUGGGAAGUAUAGUCGCAAGACCGAAACUUAAAGGAAUUGGCGGGGGAGCACAAGCC